GUAUUGAUUGCAUGUGACUGCAAAAGAAAAACAUUCUACACUGUAUCAAGUUUUGUGUGAAAACGUGAGCCCUCCUGCAAAGGGGACCCACGCGGUGAUGCACAAGGGGUGAAAUGGAUGUGUGAGAGUGCUCAGGCGUGCACGACCUUUUGAAAGGUCAGCGACAGCCCUCGCACCCCCGUUGUAUGAUAAUGAUCCUUCCGCAGGUUCACCUACGGAAA
rnacentral:misc_RNA from 1 species